AGCACGGAGCUGCUCCUUUAAAAGGGUUAUUCAGCUGAUUACACCUGAAGAUCCACAUCAGGGAUGGAGCUCAACUGAGCUGGCAGAAGAGAGAAACAGCCUCUCAGGUGUCAGUGCAGCAGCUGUGGCUCCCCUGCCUUCAGCAGUUCCACUGCUGUGACCUCUGCAGGUGUUUUCAGGGCUUCGCAGAGCAGCUUCCGAGCGUUCUUCCUGAAAGCCUCGGUCUUGGGGUCGCUCCUGACCUCAAUGGAGGGCCUGUUGGAGUGGUCCCUGAUGAAGGUUCUCCACUCCCUGUAAACGUCCUUGGCCAGGCCGGACACGUCCGCGUCGGGGUGUUUGCGCAUCUUGCUCACGGUGUGACCUGGGGAAGGGGAACAGCUCCU